CGACUAUCUAUAAGACAAUCCUUAUUCGAAAUAGAAUACCCUUCGUACUUCCGGGUAUUCGAAGAUCGAGUUUGAAUAAAACGCCCCCUCCGUAUUCGAAUUCGAAUACCAGGUAUUCGAAUUUUUGCAUCAGCGUCAGUAAACGUUGCCAUCCAAGAGAUAUUUAUCAAUAAAAAUCAUUUUAAAAUACAGAAUACUGGAUAGAAAUCCCACAAAUAAUUCUUAGACACCGGGAUUUGAUUUAAUAUAACAGAUUUAGCAAUAUUGAAACAAUAAAUAUUUUUUGUCAAAUCUAAUUUGAAAUAUGGCAAACAUCCAGCAUGCAAAAAAAGUUAAUGACGGUCGUCAGUGCAGACAAUUUUGACAGUUAUGUGAUUGAGGGCUUUAAUGGAAUCUAAAACUUGUAUCUCAACUUUAUCUGCAGAAGACCUGCGGUUGCAUCUCCUUUCGACUAACAAACUGCCGGCUGUAAUUCCAGAAAAAUUGCUAGGUCAUAGUAACAGAACUUUGUAUUGUGGGAACGCUGACUGCAAGGCUGGCUUCAACAGUUUUGCUAAAUAUAGAGACCACGUUAUCAAUUGUUUAGUUAAAGAUCCACAACCAGAUGUUAGACAAGUACUUCCUGAUGUUUCUUUUCAACAUAUCGAACCAGGAGUAACUGAUUUCGAUGUUAGUGAUCCUUUACAGCAGGACAGUUUUCACCAAGCGAAUGCAACAGCAGAUAAAACAACUCAGAGAUUAGCUAGAUUCUUUCUUGAAUUGAGGGCCAAACACAAUGUUAGUCAUUGUGUUCAACCUUAUUUUCCUGCUAAAUCUAUUAUGAUUGCACAUGAUAAUUUGAGACCAAAUGUUGCUCCAACAUGGUUAUUAAAAAGUUUUAAUGUUUCCGAAAAUGUCUCUUACGUAACUGUUCGUUAUUUUGUCUAAAAUUAACAUAUUUCUCAUUCCUUUUAAAUAGCUGCUGAUAUUGAUGGACAGUGCCUUCUCUGUUUAGAUGAAGCAAAUGUUGAAGUACUUCAACUAACACUGGGACACAAGAUGAAACUGCUUAGUUUCAUAAAAACAAUCAAAAGUCAGCAGCCCCAAGAGCAAGAAAAGGAAUCUACUGGAAUUGUGGCUUGUGAUCCUACGAUAGAAUACGAACCAAUCGUCAACGAGAAUCAGAUACUUGAUAUCAUUGUGACGGACCAACCUUCAAAUAACAAUGUGAUUGAUUUCAACGUCAACGACAUUUUAAAUGCGACCGACGAGGGGAAAGUAAUUGUGCAAAACUACCUGGAACGACUUGAGGCUUUCAUUACUGAAAAAGAGCGCAUCACAAUUGUUCAGAUCCUAGUGAAUCGCUUAGUGACAUUGAGGAAUGCGUUUUCGAUAUUAAAAUUCCUUCUCCCUCAGUAACAGCCUUUAGAGCAUCCCUAGAAUGUUUAA